UAUUGGUCAAUGGGCGGGAGCCUGAACCAGCCAAGUCGCGUGAGGGAUUAAGGCCCUACGGGUCGUAAACCUCUUUUGCCGGGGAGCAAGGCGGCGGACGUGUCCGCCGUUUGAGAGUACCUGGAGACAAAGCAUCGGCUAACCCAGUGCCAGCAGCCGCGGUAAUACGGAGGAUGCGGGGGUUAUCCGGAUUUAUUGGGUUUAAAGGGUGCGUAGGCGGGCUUUUAAGUCAGCGGUAAAAAUUCGGGGCUCAACCCCGUCCGGCCGUUGAAACUGGGGACCUUGAGUGGGCGAGAAGAAGGCGGAAUGCGUGGUGUAGCGGUGAAAUGCAUAGAUAUCACGCAGAACCCCGAUUGCGAAGGCAGCCUUCCGGCGCCCUACUGACGCUGAGGCACGAAAGUGCGGGGAUCGAACAGG
rnacentral:rRNA from 1 species